UUAUUAAAUAAAUAUGUUAAAGUUAAAUUUAUAUUAAAAUUUUAUAAUUAUUAGUAUCUGUAGAAAUUAGUUAUAUUUGUUUGGACUGUAAAGGAUUUUAUAUAAUACAUAAAGAAUUAUUUUUAUAGUACCUUUAGUAUCAGGGUAAGUUAAUUAAUUAAAUUAUUUUAUUUUCCCGAAUUUGAAUGAUCAAAUUUUGUAUGAUAUAUUUGUGUCAAAAGAUUUUUUAAUACAUUAUUAGUAAUUAUAUGUUAGUCGUUUUCUGUUUAUCUGGUUAUUAAGGAAAUUAAAUUUAAUUUUACACUUUUUAAUUUAUUAAUUAAUCAAUAUUAUUUUUUAAGUGUUAAUUUAUUGGGGACGAUCUCGGUAAAUAUAAAUUAUUACAUGUAGUUAUUUUUUUAUUUUUUUACUUUUAAAUUUUGUAUUUAGUUUUUAUUAAAUUGGUUAAAUUAUAUAUUAUUUUUUUGUGUAUAUUUUUUUACUUAAUUAAUUGGUUUAAUUUUCAAUCUUAUUUAAUAAUGAUUUAAUUAGUAUAAUAAAUUAAUUAAGGUAAAUGAAUUCGACAAAUAUUAUUUCCAACUGUUUAUCAAAAACAUUUCUUUUUGAUUUCAUAAAAAGUAUCUUCUGCCCUAUGGUUUAAAAUCUAAAUGGCUGCAGUAUUUUGACUGUGCAAAGGUAGCAUAGUAAUUAGUUUUUUAAUUGAAAGCUUGUAUGAAUGGAUGUAUGAGAAUUAUAUUUUAUUUCUUUAAAUGUUAAAAUUUAAAUUUAAAGUUAAAAUGCUUUAUUAAUUUAUUGGGACGAUAAGACCCUAUAGAACUUUAUAUAAUUUAUAUUAUUGAGUUUUAUUUGUAUAUUUUUUAAUAUUUCUGUUAUAUUUUGCUGGGGUGGCAACUAAAUAAAUAACUUUAGUUUUAAUAAUCAUUUGUUUGUGAAAUUUUAGAUCCUUAAAUUAAUAAUGGAUAAUAAGAUAAAGUUACCUUAGGGAUAACAGCGUAAUUUUAAUGGGGAGUUCAUAUCUAUAUUGUAUUUUGCGACCUCGAUGUUGAAUUAAGAAAAUUUUAAGAAGCAGUAUUCUUAAUAAUAAGUCUGUUCGACUUUUAAAUUCUUACAUGAUUUGAGUUCAAACCGGCGUGAGCCAGGUUGGUUUCUAUCUGAUAAAUAUUUUUUGUGCUUAGUACGAAAGGACCAGUAUAAAUUACUAAUAGUAAAUAUUUUAAUAAU
rnacentral:rRNA from 1 species